GACGAACGCUGGCGGCGUGCUUAACACAUGCAAGUCGAACGAUGAACUUGGAGCUUGCUCUGGGGGAUUAGUGGCGAACGGGUGAGUAACACGUGAGUAACCUGCCCUGGACUCUGGGAUAACUUCGAGAAAUCGGAGCUAAUACCGGAUAGGACCUUGCACCGCAUGGUGUGGGGUGGAAAGUUUUUCGGUUUGGGAUGGACUCGCGGCCUAUCAGCUUGUUGGUGAGGUAAUGGCUCACCAAGGCGUCGACGGGUAGCCGGCCUGAGAGGGUGACCGGCCACACUGGGACUGAGACACGGCCCAGACUCCUACGGGAGGCAGCAGUGGGGAGUAUUGCACAAUGGGCGCAAGCCUGAUGCAGCAACGCCGCGUGCGGGAUGACGGCCUUCGGGUUGUAAACCGCUUUUAGUAGGGAAGAAGCCUUCGGGUGACGGUACCUGCAGAAAAAGGACCGGCUAACUACGUGCCAGCCGCCGCUGUAAUAC
rnacentral:rRNA from 1 species